UAGCGGAGGGUGCAAACGUUGCUCGGAAUCAUUGGGCGUAAAGCGCACGUAGGCGGCCUGUUAAGUCGGGUGUGAAAGCCCUGGCUCAACCCAGGAAGUGCACUCGAAACUGGCGGGCUUGAAUAUGGAAGAGGGUCGCGGAAUUCCCGUGUAGAGGUGAAAUUCGUAGAUAUCGGGAGGAACACCAGUGGCGAAAGGCGGCGACCUGGGCCAAUAUUGACGCUGAGGUGCGAAAGCGUGGGGAGCAAAACAGG
rnacentral:rRNA from 1 species